CAUCAGUCUUAGCUCAAUUUUCAUAUCAACCCUGAAGUAUGCAAACGAUAGAAAAUUUAGAGAUCAUACCUUGAAAUCCGGUUGUUUUAGUGAGCUAAACAGAUAGAUGAGUUAAAAUCAAGUAGGUUAGGUGAAGGAAUAACCGAAAUCAGUCAAGAAACAUGAGAAAAAUCGAGAGGCGAUUGUUUCAGAGGGUUUUCAGGUUUCUAAAGAAAACGUUUUUGUUAGUUGUCGAGUUAUAUAGUCUGCAACUCGAGACUUGGCGUCGAUCGAUGCGAUGGGCUCGUAAUCGAUUGACGUUCCCAAGAAUUUCUUUUAGUUUGUUGUUUUUUUUUGUUUUUAAUUUUAAAUUGAAAGCUAAUCCUAAAAUAUUGAAAUUAGUAUUGAGUUGCCUCCCAAUCAUCGCUUAUUUUAAGUCGUGAGUUUGAAUAUCAAACCAAAUAAAUCAGCCAUUUGGGAGAUUCAAACGCAAGGUUCGAGUGUCUGGAGUUUGUGUUUUGGCCCAAUAGUUCUUAACUCUUUUUCCAUUCACCGUAAAUUCAUCUCCUUCACCACUGAUCAGGUUAACAGCUCCGUAGGGUCUGACUUCUUUAACCGUAAAAGGACCUGACCAGCGAGAGCGAAGUUUCCCAGGAAAUAGUGUCAAUCGGGAAUUAUAAAGAAGCACUUGAUCAUUCGGUUCAAAAUGUCUAGAGAUGAUUUUCUUCUCAUCAUAGGCUUUCGUCCUUUCCUUGUAAAGCUUUGAGUUCUCAUAGGCGAGAUGUCUAAU
rnacentral:lncRNA from 1 species